rnacentral:rRNA from 1 species
GACGAACGCUGGCGGCGUGCUUAACACAUGCAAGUCGAACGGAAAGGCCCUGCUUUUGUGGGGUGCUCGAGUAGCGAACGGGUGAGUAACACGUGAGUAACCUGCCCUUGACUUUGGGAUAACUUCAGGAAACUGGGGCUAAUACCGGAUAGGAGCUCCUGCUGCAUGGUGGGGGUUGGAAAGUUUCGGCGGUUGGGGAUGGACUCGCGGCUUAUCAGCUUGUUGGUGGGGUAGUGGCUUACCAAGGCUUUGACGGGUAGCCGGCCUGAGAGGGUGACCGGCCACAUUGGGACUGAGAUACGGCCCAGACUUCUACGGGAGGCAGCAGUGGGGAAUAUUGCACAAUGGGCGGAAGCCUGAUGCAGCAACGCCGCGUGCGGGAUGACGGCCUUCGGGUUGUAAACCGCUUUCGCCUGUGACGAAGCGUGAGUGACGGUAAUGGGUAAAGAAGCACCGGCUAACUACGUG